rnacentral:rRNA from 1 species
UUGGAGGGCAAGUCUGGUGCCAGCAGCCGCGGUAAUUCCAGCUCCAAUAGCGUAUAUUAAAGUUGUUGCAGUUAAAAAGCUCGUAGUUGAAUUUCGGGAUCAAUAUUUCGGUCAUGCCGUUGGUAUGCACUGUUAUCAUUGAUUUCUCACCUUCUAAAGAACCGUAAUGCCAUUAAUUUGGUGUUACGGGGAAUUAGGACUGUUACCUUGAAAAAAUUAGAGUGUUUAAAGCAGGCUCACGCUUGAAUACAUUAGCAUGGAAUAAUGAAAUAGGACAUCCGAUUCUAUUUUGUUGGUUUCUAGGAUCGAUGUAAUGAUUAAUAGGGAUAGUUGGGGGCAUUAGUAUUCAAUUGUCAGAGGUGAAAUUCUUGGAUUUAUUGAAGACUAACUACUGCGAAAGCAUUUGCCAAGGAUGUUUUCAUUAAUCAAGAACGAAAGUUAGGGGAUCGAAGACGAUCAGAUACCGUCGUAGUC